UAGGGAAUCUUCGGCAAUGGGGGCAACCCUGACCGAGCAACGCCGCGUGAGUGAAGAAGGUUUUCGGAUCGUAAAGCUCUGUUGUAAGAGAAGAACGUGUGUGAGAGUGGAAAGUUCACACAGUGACGGUAACUUACCAGAAAGGGACGGCUAACUACGUGCCAGCAGCCGCGGUAAUACGUAGGUCCCGAGCGUUGUCCGGAUGUAUUGGGCGUAAAGCGAGCGCAGUCGGUUUAAUAAGUCUGAAGUUAAAGGCAGUGGCUUAACCAUUGUUCGCUUUGGAAACUGUUAAACUUGAGUGCAGAAGGGGAGAGUGGAAUUCCAUGUGUAGCGGUGAAAUGCGUAGAUAUAUGGAGGAACGCCGGUGGCGAAAGCGGCUCUCUGGUCUGUAACUGAAGCUGAGGCUCGAAAGCGUGGGGAGCAAACAGG
rnacentral:rRNA from 1 species